ensembl:lncRNA novel transcript
UCCCAGCUACUCAUGAGCCUGAAAUGGGAAGAUCGCUUGAGCCCAGGAGUUCAAGACUGCAGUGAACUAUGAUCGUGCCACUGUGCUCUAGCCUGGGUGACAGAGUGAGACCUUGUCCCCACCCCACCCCUCAAAAACAAAACAAAACAAAAAAAAACCCAAACAAGGAAAAGGAAUGCUGUUUGGUGCACGUGUAGUAGUGAUAUUAAUAGUUGGUUUUCAUUGAGCACCAAUUAUAUGCCAGAGCCCGUGUUCUGGUACUACGUGAAGGAGGUCCUCAACAAGCACGAGCUGCAAGCGCUUCUACUCCCUGCGCCACAUCGCCUCAGACGUGGGCCGGGGCCGCACCUGGCUGCGCUGUGCCCUCAACGAACACUCCCUGGAGCGCUACCUGCACAUGCUCCUGGCCGACCGCUGCAGGCUCAGUACUUUUUAUGAAGACUGGUCUUUUGUGAUGGAUGAAGAGAGGUCCAGUAUGCUUCCUACCAUGGCAGCAGGUCCGAACUCCAUACUCUUUGCGAUUAACAUUGACAACAAGGAUUUGAACGGGCAGAGUAAGUUUGCUCCCACCGUUUCAGACCUCUUAAAGGAGUCAACGCAGAAUGUGACCUUGCUGAAGGAGUCCACGCAAGGAGUGAGCAGCGUGUUCAGGGAGAUCACAGCCUCCUCUGCCAUCUCCAUCCUCAUCAAACCUGAACAGGAGACCGACCCCUUGCCCGUCGUGUCCAGGAAUGUCAGUGCUGAUGCCAAAUGCAAAAAGGAGCGGAAGAAGAAAAAGCAAGUGACCAACAUUAUCUCAUUUGAUGAUGAGGAAGAUGAGCAGAACUCUGGGGACAUGUUUAAAAAGACACCUGGGGCAGGGGAGAGCUCAGAGGACAACUCCGACCACUCCUCUGUCAAUAUCAUGUCCGCCUUUGAAAGCCCCUUCGGGCCAAACUCCAAUGGAAGUCAGAGCAGCAACUCGUGGAAAAUUGAUUCCCUGUCUUUGAACAGGGAGUUUGGGUACCAGAAGCUUGAUGUGAAAAGCAUCGAUGAUGAAGAUGUGGAUGAAAACGAAGAUGACGUGUAUGGAAACUCAUCAGGACGGAAGCACAGGGGCCACUCAGAGUCGCCCGAGAAAAACGGAGCACACUCUGUCACCCAGGCUGGAGUGCAAUGGCACGAUCUCAGCUCACUACAACCUCUGCCUCCCGGGUUCAAGUGAUUCUACUGCCUCAGCCUCCCGUGUAGCUGGGAUUACAGGCGCGCACCAACACACCCGACUAAUUUUUGUAUUUUUAGUAAAGACAGGGUUUCACCAUGUUGGCCAGGCUGGUCUUGCACUCCUGACCUCACGUGAUCUGCCCCACCUUGGCCUCCCAAAGUGCUGGGAUUACAGGUGUGAACCACUGCGCCCAGCCCCAAGUGGCUUUUUCAAUUACAUGAGCCAACAUAUUCUCACAAGUCCAUUCGAGUUUGGUGUCUGUUACUUGCAAAUAAGGGAGUUCUGAUUGGUUCCCAGUGAAACCUCAUCUGUAAGACCUCUGAGCCACCAGUAUCCACGGGGCUUGUCCUAUAACAGCUCCUGUGCAAUCCAGUAACCUUGAACACUGGAAGCCACUGAGCCCUUCUGUGAGUAGAUGCACACCUCUGAGGCUAAGAUUACUGGUGUACUCAUUGGGACCAGUUUGGUCUCAGUGACUGAAAACUCAACCCAAACUUGUUCAUUUGGAAAGGAAAAGUCAACCAGGCACAGUGGCUCAUGCCUGUAGUUCCAGCACUUUGGGAGGCUGAGGUGGACAGAUCGCUUGAGCCCAGGGGUUCAAGACCAACCUGGGCAACAUAGCAAAACCCUGCCUCUACAAAAAAAAAAAAAAA